AGAGUACGUGAAACCGUUCAGGGGUAAACCUGAGAAACCCGAAAGGUCGAAAGGGGAAAUUCAUUCGCGUUUCGGCCGUCGGCGUCGGUAGGUCGAGUGACGGAUGGCGUACGCGUCGUCCGCGCCUUCCUUCCUUCGAUCCGGCGUCGAACGCGUGCACUUUUCCCCUAGUAGGACGUCGCGAUCCGUUGGGUGUCGGUCUAAGGCCCGCGGUGGAGCCCGUGCGGACGUUUCGGCGUUCGCUCGGACCCGCGGUGUCCCGGCCGACUCGCUCGACGGUAUACAGAUGGCGCGGGGCCGCUACACAGUUAGCGUUCGGCCUGCGGCAAGCGCGUUCGGCGUUUGACGGCGAUCGGACCUGGUGCCGGUCCUGUCCCCGAACGACUGUUGGCCGUGGUGUUCUCGAACAGACCUCGAAUUUGAAACGCCGAUCUGCGACGCUAUAGCUUUGGGUACUUUCAGGACCCGUCUUGAAACACGGACCAAGGAGUCUAGCAUGUGCGCGAGUCAUUGGGACAUAACUAAACCUAAAGGCGCAAUGAAAGUGAAGGUCCGUCUUGCACGGACCGAGGGAGGAUGGGCGGUGUCUGCCUUAAAGCGGUCGCCCCGCACUCCCGGGGCGUCUCGUUCUCAUCGCGAGAAGA
rnacentral:rRNA from 1 species